AGAUGAGGCUUCUGAGGGCGAGGCGGCACCAGGGCUUCCCCUUCCAAUGACUCUUCCAAACCACUCAACUCACUGAAGACUGAGUCAUUGCUGCCAUUGUAUUGUUGUUGUUGUGUCAUCGUUGUUGUUGCAAAGCUCUGCACUUUACUAUCAGAAAGGACUAAUGGACCAAUUAGGGAGGGUUAUGUUGUAACAUUACCCUCAAUACACAACCACGAGGUGCCAAACAUGUCUAAGAGACACAGGGAGGAUGGGGUGCACUAGGCUGCCUCUGUUCCCAAAUUCUAGCCUUGUGGUGAAGACAGAUGUGCAAACAGCCAACUCUAGUGCCAGACAGAGUGUGAUGAGCUCUGUAACUCAGGACUGCAGAGCAGGGAGCAAUUCACUGUUUCUGAAGGAGGAGGCAGCAAUCCAGCCAAUCCUUAGAAGUAGCUCAGCAGGCAGAGCUGAAUGUUCAGUCAAGCCUAAUCAAAGCUUAGUCUUUCUGGGGACCAGCUGCUAUCCAGACACUCCCAGGAAAUGACUCUCAAAGAGCCACCUCACUAGCACUAAUGCA
rnacentral:lncRNA from 10 species